UGGUGGAGUGAUUUGUCUGGUUAAUUCCGAUAACGAACGAGACCUUAACCUGCUAAAUAGGGUUGCGAUUUUUUUAAUUCGUAAGUCUUCUUAGAGGGACUAACUACAUUUAGUGGUUGGAAGUUUGAGGCAAUAACA
rnacentral:rRNA from 1 species